rnacentral:rRNA from 1 species
UACGAAGGGGGCUAGCGUUGCUCGGAAUCACUGGGCGUAAAGCGCACGUAGGCGGAUCUUUAAGUCAGGGGUGAAAUCCCAAGGCUCAACCUUGGAACUGCCUUUGAUACUGGGGAUCUCGAGUCCGGAAGAGGUUGGUGGAACUGCGAGUGUAGAGGUGAAAUUCGUAGAUAUUGGGAAGAACACCGGUGGCGAAGGCGGCUAUCUGGACCGACAUUGACGCUGAGGCGCGAAAGCGUGGGGAGCAAACAGG